rnacentral:tRNA from 1 species
CUUGAUAGCUCAGUUGGUAAAGAAUCUGCCUGCAAAGCAGGAGACCCUGGUUUGAUUCCUGGGUCAGG